rnacentral:rRNA from 1 species
UACGAAGGGUGCAAGCGUUACUCGGAAUUACUGGGCGUAAGCGUGCGUAGGUGGUUUGUUAAGUCUGAUGUGAAAGCCCUGGGCUCAACCUGGGAAUUGCAUUGGAUACUGGCAGGCUAGAGUGCGGUAGAGGAUGGCGGAAUUCCCGGUGUAGCAGUGAAAUGCGUAGAGAUCGGGAGGAACAUCUGUGGCGAAGGCGGCCAUCUGGACCAGCACUGACACUGAGGCACGAAAGCGUGGGAGCAAACAGG